AUUUUGACUCAUGACAGUACUGCAGCACAAGCAAAGUUCUGCUGUCUUGAGCACAGAAGGAGCAGACAGACUCCAAUAAGAUUUUUUUUGUUUUCACAACCUGAUUUCCAGUGUUUCUCAGGACUACACAUGUCAAUCUUUCUUGUCUUCAGCCUUUUGGACCGCUGUCGUUCAUAUUUCUUAUUCUUGUUUUAUUUUCUGUAUCUUUUUGCCUCUUUCUGUUAUCUUUCAGGUUCUGUUAUUCAGACACAUGAUCCCACAAAUCAGUAACUCCACUCUCCACACCACUUCAGACAAAUCCUGCUUAUUUUCCUUGAAAUAUUUGCAAAAUCUAAUACAACUUCAUAUACAGUGGGGCUGAAAAUCACUUCUCCUUUCCUGGUGAGUACUCCAGUUUUAUACCCAAUAACUCAAUACUUCAUAUUUUGCCACAGCAUCACAGUUGCAAAUCUAUUUCAGAGACAUUAUGUUUUAGGAUAUAAUAUCACAUUUUAUAUAGACAGUCUCAAUACCCUUAUUUUUUAUUUUCAACUAUUCUUGAGAUUAUGUUAAAAAUGCUGUUUAAAUGUGCUUAAUUAAUUUAUCAAGGAGACCAAAUUUUUCUUCAUUGUCUUGUAACCACUUGUAAUAUCUGUUUUGGUUUGUUUUCUCGUUUUUGUUGUUGUUUGUUUAUUUUGUGGGGUUUUGUUUAUUUGUUUUCAGCAAGACUGUCUUUUUUUCUAUAUUACCAUUGGGCAGUGUCAGACUACCAGCAGCAGCCCCAUGGACAUUUUCCAGCAUCCCACUUUUCAGAAAUAAUUCCCUAGUAUGUGCUUGAGAGACAGCUCUUAAGCAACUUGUGCAUUUACUGAGGUUAUCUAGUUCUAUUUGUUAUUGUGUGCAAGGAAAUCAAUUGCCUUUUUUAUUUAAAUUUGAUACAAAUCUACUCAUUUUAUCAAUCCAGCUUUCAAGAAUUACACAAGAGUUGGGUGACAAAAACUGUUCACUCUGAAAUUUGUUGACAAGAUUCUAACUCCAUCCUGUCAUUCUGUUCUCUCUCAAGAGGAUCUCAGUGAGAUUUCCUUUUUUUUUUUUUUUUUUUUUUCUCAAAAUGUAAUAUUAGGAUACAUGGGUCUUUUAUUAUUAUUAUUAUUUUUAGCACAAUAAAAGCAUUUCCACUCAAUUUCUUCA
rnacentral:lncRNA from 1 species